CGUUAAUCACUGGACCACUGCAAAUUAAGAAAAAAAUAGAUCGUUCAGCAAGGAUCAUAAAUUUUAAAACAAUGGCUGAAUUAUAGUAGCUUACUCUUUAAGUUGCAAAUGAACCAAGAUUUUCCGAGAAGCUGAGUCAUCCUUGAUGCACAAAACCGGACGCUGAUGGAGAGGAUUCCCAUCAACCAGCUUAAGGUGGCCGACAACAUCUACAACACAAAGUUAGACUCAUUGUUAAUUAAACGGUUACAAACAAUCAAUAGAGAAGCUGUAAUGGGUGAACCUUUGUAAGAAAACAUCUACAUCUUACCGUGAAGAUCUCCUCUGAGAUCGCAGUUUGCUUCAAAAUCUGCAAAGGAAUGGAUUCUGAAGCGCUCUGUCAAAAUGGCUUCAAUGUCUUCUUCCACCUUCCUCAGCUCAGAGGCAUGUGAGAUGCAAAUUACCAGCCUCUGGUCAGCAACAUGGUACAUCACCUUGUUGUUCGAUGCAUAGUAGUUUGUCAGUGUGUAGAUCAUCCCACGCUUAAGCUCUUUCUCGUAUUGGUUGCGACGGUUCUGACCAAUGAACCCCUGAGCCACAGUACCCUGCAUAACAUAGAGUCAAUAUUGGGUCAGUCGAAUAUCUAAAAGUAUUGGGUCAGUCGUAUACCUAUCACAGAUACGCUAGUCUGAUUUCAAGCUGAUAAAUAAUUUUUUUUUACAAAGAUAGUUGCGGUGAGUUAGCAAAACAACAAAACAGGAUUGAUAAAACAGUUUAAGUUCUGAUAAAGACACGCUCAUUUGAACAUGAAGACAAUUCAAAGAUACACAAAUAGGAAUUGUAACCAAUCAAUCAGGUUAUUUAAAAACAUAUACGCCUAUACAAUUUCAGCUCAAACCAGUUGAUCAUUUUAUUUUUCAAAGAUCCUACUAAAGGGCUUAAUUUCAUCUCAAAUCAAUCAAUUAAGUUUUUACCAAGAUACGCCUAUAUAAUUUCAUCUCUACACAACUGAUCAAUUUAUUUGCUUAAAAAUACGCUUGAGACCGGAACCAACCAAUCAAGUUUUCUAUCAACAGACGCCUAUAUAAUUAAAUCUCAAACCAACUGAUCUAUUUUUUUUUUUUUUUUUUUUAAAAACGCUACGCUUAAGACCAGAACCAACAAAUCAAGUUGUAUAGUACGAUACGCAUAUAUAAUUUCGUCUCAACACAACUGAUCAAUUUUUUUAAAUUUAAAAUACGCUUAAGACCUGAACCAACCAAUCAAGUUUUCUAUCAACAGACGCAUAUAUAAUUUCAUAGCAAACCAAUCAAUUAAGUUUUGAUCAACAUACGCCUAUAUAUUUACAUCUCAACAUAGCUGAUUUAAUUUUUUUUUUAAAACACGCUUAAAUAAUCACGGUUCAGAAACGGAAACGACAUCCAAAAGGAAACAUGAAAACAUACCUCUGCGUCGAUCAGAAGGAGCUCGAUCCCAAGAAUGAUCCCUGGUCCUCCUUUGACAUUCUUGCGAGCAUCCCAGAAAUGAAGAAGCCGAAACUGCAUGGUGGAAUCUCCGGGUCCCGGUGAAACUUGUCGGAAGAGGAGGAGAGGAGAAGAUUCGCCGGUGCGGAUUGCGGCCUCUUUCGACAUGAUUACGAUUUAGAACUAACGAUCCGAUGAGAGAAAGAUAAGGGUAGGAUCUGAGGUAAAAGACAUGAGGAUAUAAAUAGGCAUCUAGAUAUAAGGCGGAGGGUGGGAGGUGGAAGGUCUGUAGGGAUCUUGAAUAGAGGCUUUAAGGGAGAACAUUGAAGUUCCAGCCCUUUCAUCGGAGGCGUUUUACGGGAAGAUUUGGGGAAGAGAAAGUGAAUCGACAUGAGGGACAGAGAAAUGGGGAGCGGCGAUUAGGGUUGUCGAGAGGAGGAGAAAGCUUUCGAAGCUUUGGCUUCAGUCUCGCCAAUACGUAGAUUAGGAUAAAUAAAUGGGCUGGUCUGGGAGAAAUGAAUUAUCUGUUUGAUUUGGCUUGGGUUUCGCAGAUGGGUUAGUGGGCUGGGCUGUGAAAAGUGAAUUAUCUGAUUGAUUUGGCUUGAGCUGGAAACGAAAUAACGGAGUCGGAGAAUGAGGAUGCGCCCACAGAGCCCAAUCGUGAAUGAUGCGAUUUUAAUUUCAAACAGAAUCAGCCAGUGACGUGGCAAAAUCAGUGGCUGGGAAUAUUUUGACCUUGGGGAUAGCUUUAGGGAGCUUUAAAAUAGUCCCUAUUAUAUAGUGGGAUAAUAAUCUUAGGGGGAUAAGUGCGUAGCUUAAAAGGAUUAUGCUAUCCGCAACACAAAUUCAGUAGUUUGUUUUGUUUACUAUAUCGACCUGAGAAACAAUGCUAAACAAAAUCCAAACAGGCAAAGCAAGCAAGUGAAAAGUCUGUCCCCUUCCGUUCCCAAAAGUAAGAAAGGGAAUGGGGUCGUCGGAGGGAACAGUGAAGAACAUUCUGGAACAAGAAUCUCUAAAAUGGGUAUUCGUGGGAGGGAAAGGAGGUGUGGGGAAGACGACAUGCAGUUCGAUCCUACUGUUGAGACUGAAGACUUGGCUGGCCCUGAAGGGAUGGAUAGUUUAUUCUCUGAUUUGGCCAAUGCCAUCCCUGGAAUCGACGAGGCCAUGAGUUUUGCUCAAGUUGGUUCAAACAAUGGAUUAUGCAACCAUUGUCUUUGACACCGCUCCUACCGGUCACACUCUCCGUCUCUUACAGUUCCCCGCCACUCUUGAAAAGGGCCUUUCCAAAUUGAAGAGUCGCUUUGGUGGCUUGAUGAAUCAGAUGAGCCGUCUGUUUGGCAUGGAGGAUGAGCUUGGCGAGGAUGCUCUGCUGGGAAGACUCGAGGGCUUGAAAGAUGUCAUCCAACAUGUUAAUCGUCAAUUUAAAGACCCGGAUUUGACAACGUUCGUUUGUGUCUGCAUCCCUGAGUUCUUGUCUCUCUAUGAAACGGAGAGAUUAAUUAGUUUAGGAACUCGCAAAGUUUGAGAUCGACACGCAUAACAUCAUCAUCAACCAAGUACUAUAUGACGAUGAAGGUGGUGGUUGGUCACUCUUUCUUUGCAGAUUUUUCCCACUUAUCUUGUCGUUGGUUUUUUUGUCUAUUAUUAUUAUUAUUAUUAUUAUUAUUAUUAUUAUUAUUAUUAUUAUUAUUAUUAUCUAACUUGCCUACUAGAUGUGGAAUCCAAGGUUCUUAGAGCAAGGAUGACUUCAAUAUCACAAAACUUCCCCUGCUUCCCCAAGAGGUAAGAGAGAAACAUUAACUGAAUAACUAAAUCUUGAUCCGCGCAACCGCGCAGAUUUUUGUUUUCAUUUAUUUUUAUAUAAAUAUUUUGUUUUCAAUUCUAAAUUGAUAUAUAUUAUAAUAUAUAUAUGUGUCUAUCAAUUUUUAAAACAUAAUAAGUUUACUGUAUAUUUUUUCAUUGAAUAGAUUGUUUCAAACUUUCACAUGUAUUUGUAUCUUCUUCUCAGAGCCGACUCUAACCCAUGGCAACAUGGACAAUUGCCAUGGGUUCAUAGGUCCAAAAUUUUUUUUAUGUUAUUUUACUAAGAAGGUCUAUUUUUGUUUAUUAAAUAUCAAUUAGUUGGUGAAAUUAUAAUAAAAAACGUGUAUAAUUAAAUAAAUAUAAUUUAAAUACAAUAAGAACAAAAAAUUAACUUACACCAUUCUCAAAUUUUCUAUUAACAAAAAUCUAAUUUAUACACAAAAACACAUUUUUAUUUUUAUUUUCUUUGAAUACCACAAUUUUUUAUUUAGUUCAUGGAAAUGGAAUAAAUUAAAGUUUAGAAAAAACUUAUAAAAAGGUCUUUCUUUUAUAUUUCACCUUAGGUCAUUAAAUUUUUUAAGACGGCACUGCUUAUUCUAUAUAUAUAUAUA